AUACGUAGGGGGCAAGCGUUGUCCGGAAUUACUGGGCGUAAAGAGCUCGUAGGCGGCUCAGCAAGUCGGUCGUGAAAGCCCGAGGCUCAACCUCGGAACUGCGGUCGAUACUGCUGUGGCUAGAGUCCGGUAGAGGAGAGUGGAAUUCCCGGUGUAGCGGUGGAAUGCGCAGAUAUCGGGAGGAACACCAGUGGCGAAGGCGGCUCUCUGGGCCGGUACUGACGCUGAGGAGCGAAAGCGUGGGGAGCAAGCAGGAUUAGAUACCCCAGUAGUCC
rnacentral:rRNA from 1 species